GCGUUGCGUCAUACUCGUACUCCGUAGUAUUUGCAAUUGGCAAUACGAGACUAGUGGUUCUUGCUAGUCUGGCCAUUUUUUGUAGUUUAGCAGGAAAACACGUAUUGGAGCAUAGUGAAGACGCCAAAUAUGAGUAGAGGAAGAGUGGGAAAGCCUUCCCACCCCGGUAACUCCAACUCUGAUGUAUGUAGCGAAGAAAGUCUGAACAUCAGCGAAAGCAGUGAUUUAAACUCCUUGCCUUCUUGUUCAUCGAGGAUACCGACGCGAAGUAGAAUGCACUACAGAAGAAGUUCUAAUGCAAACCAUAGUGAAUUAGGCAAAGCCGGGAUAAGACUAAAGGAUAUGACUCAUAUGAGUUUAAAAUCUGAUGCUACAGUUAGUCGUCAAGGCGAACUUUCUGAGACGUCGGAUGAUGAUCAUGAAGCGUCUCGGGCUCGUGAUAAAUUCAUCAUUCAUGACACUGAAUCUCAUGAUGAAUUAUCAAAACGACGGCGAAGACCAAAGUUUGUACAAGAAAAAAGAUCAAGAGGUGGAGGGACGAUCCAUACAAAUUCCAGAGAUUACAGAGAUCAGGCACCUGGUCUAAGUAGUGAUGCAGUCCUUGAUUCAAUGAUGCAGGAGGAAUUCAAACGUGGCUGGGUGCAGGGAAGAGAAUCUGACGUGGCAAGAGCCCAAAAGCAAAUGCAAGACCUUCAUUUUUCUGAUAGCUAUAAUCGAUCUGUACAGUUCCAGUUCAAUGUUAAUGCCCAACCAAACAAGGGAACACAAGUAAAUUUGUCUCAUCGAUGUCAGAUGGGCUGUCAAAAUGAGAUUACUGAUUGUCGCCGCACAAUAGCUCAACUUGAAAGUGAGCUUCACAUUUUGGGAGAAAAGUUUCACAAUAAAGAGGUGCAAAAUGAGAGGUUGAAAGAAAAUAAAGACGUUUUAGAGCAAGAAAUUUGUUUUUUAGAAGACAAAAUUACUAUUCAGGCAAAUGCUGCAAUUGAACAGGUGAAGGAGAGUCUUAAUGAAAAAAUUGCAUCUUUAACAAAGAAAAAUGACAUCUUGGCUAAAAAAAUAGCUGAUCUCAUGCAAAUGAAUGAGACUUUAGAAGAGGACAAUGUUCAACUGGUUCAACUCAAACAAAAGGAUGAAAAAAUGCUGGGAAUUUUGGAUCAUUUGGCGGCAAAUGGCCAUUCUUUGGACGAGCAAAAUGGUGCACUCAGACAAAAGGUUGAGCAGCUAGAGGCAGAUUUAAAGCAAGCGGAAGAUGAACGUGAUAGAGCACUUGCUGGCCAAGAAAUUGCACGUGAUGAAUGUGAUAGAGCACUUGCUGACCGAGAAAUGGCACGUGAUGAACGCGAUAGUGCACUUCAGGAUCGCGAUGCUCUAGCUGAACGUCAAGAUCAAAUGCAGAAUUUCCUCUGUUUUAUGAUUUUCCUGAGUUUUGGCCUUUACGGAGCACUUCAGACCUUCCGGGCUCGGGCGCAGGAGCAUGAAGCUCUUCAAGAUCAGCUGAGGGAUAUCAUGGAUGACUUGCACCCAGUAGCCGGGCCUCAGCCAAACAAUGCACCGAAUGUACAUGGAGUUCAAGAUAUAGGAGAUAUCUUCGACCAAACUAUCCAUUUACUCUAUUUCGAGGCCGAUGUCCACGUUCCAGAUUGAGUGAUUACAGAGACGCAUGGCACUGGUUGUGCUUCGGUGUGAACUGAUGUGAACACGUGUUUGGGUUGGCGCCUGUUUGAAGGCGUUUAAUUCACUCGCGGUGCGGUGUUGAUUUGGUUUAAUUCGCGCUGAGCGCGAUCGUUCUUGUAUUCAUUACAAUUUAGGAAUUAAGUAUUUGUUAAAUAGAUAACUUUUCAGUAACUCGUCGUUUGUCAACUAGUUUUUCUGAGCAUGAUAGCUGCACAUAAGGAUUUUUCCUAAUUCUUUCAAUUAAUGUAGCGACAUGUUGA
rnacentral:misc_RNA from 1 species